rnacentral:rRNA from 1 species
AUCGGAGCUUGCUCUGGUUUGGUCAGCGGCGGACGGGUGAGUAACACGUGGGCAACCUGCCCGCAAGACCGGGAUAACUCCGGGAAACCGGAGCUAAUACCGGAUAACACCGAAGACCGCAUGGUCUUUGGUUGAAAGGCGGCCUUUGGCUGUCACUUGCGGAUGGGCCCGCGGCGCAUUAGCUAGUUGGUGAGGUAACGGCUCACCAAGGCGACGAUGCGUAGCCGGCCUGAGAGGGUGACCGGCCACACUGGGACUGAGACACGGCCCAGACUCCUACGGGAGGCAGCAGUAGGGAAUCUUCCGCAAUGGGCGAAAGCCUGACGGAGCGACGCCGCGUGAGCGAAGAAGGCCUUCGGGUCGUAAAGCUCUGUUGUGAGGGACGAAGGAGCGCCGUUCGAAGAGGGCGGCGCGGUGACGGUACCUCACGAGGAAGCCCCGGCUAACUACGUGCCAGCAGCCGCGGUAAUACGUAGGGGGCGAGCGUUGUCCGGAAUUAUUGGGCGUAAAGCGCGCGCAGGCGGUUCCUUAAGUCUGAUGUGAAAGCCCACGGCUCAACCGUGGAGGGUCAUUGGAAACUGGGGGACUUGAGUGCAGGAGAGGAGAGCGGAAUUCCACGUGUAGCGGUGAAAUGCGUAGAGAUGUGGAGGAACACCAGUGGCGAAGGCGGCUCUCUGGCCUGCAACUGACGCUGAGGCGCGAAAGCGUGGGGAGCAAACAGGAUUAGAUACCCUGGUAGUCCACGCCGUAAACGAUGAGUGCUAAGUGUUAGAGGGGUCACACCCUUUUAGUGCUGCAGCUAACGCGAUAAGCACUCCGCCUGGGGGAGUACGGGCCGCAAGGGUUGAAACUCAAAAGGAAUUGACGGGGGGCCCGCACAAACGGGUGAAGCAUGUGGGUUUAAUUCCGAAGCAACGCCGAAGAACCUUUACCAAGGUCUUUGACAUCCCCUUGACAACCCCAAGAAAAUUGGGGCGUUCCCCCCUUCCGGGGGGGA